rnacentral:rRNA from 1 species
UACGGGGGGAGCAAGCGUUGUUCGGAUUUACUGGGCGUAAAGGGCGCGUAGGCGGCCACCGCAAGUCGGUUGCGAAAUCUCCGGGCUUAACUCGGAAAGGUCAACUGAUACUGCGGGGCUAGAGUGCGGAAGGGGCAACUGGAAUUCUCGGUGUAGCGGUGAAAUGCGUAGAUAUCGAGAGGAACACCUGCGGCGAAGGCGGGUUGCUGGGCCGACACUGACGCUGAGGCGCGAAAGCUAGGGGAGCGAACGGGA